rfam:Otolemur garnettii contig010966, whole genome shotgun sequence.
ACCAGGCAUAGUGGUGGACACCUGCAGUCCCAGGUACUCAGGAGACUGAGGCAGGAGGAUCUUCUUGAGCCUCAGAAUUCUGGGCUGUGGUAUGUCCUGCUGAUUGGAUGUAUACUAAGUUUGAAAUCAAUAUGGUAACCUCUUAGGAGCAAGGAACGAUGCACCAGAUUGCCUAAGGAUGAGUGAACUGGGCCAGGUUGCCAACAGAGCAGGUAAAAACUCCCAUGCUGAUCACCAGAGGGAUUGGGCCUAUGAAUAGCCACUGCACUCCAGCCUGGGCAACACUGUGAGCCUGUCUCUC